rnacentral:rRNA from 1 species
CCUACGGGGGGCUGCAGCGACGAAUCUUCCGCAAUGGGCGCAAGCCUGACGGAGCGACGCCGCGUGUGGGAUGAAGCGCCUUCGGCGUGUAAACCACUGUCAGGAGACAGAACCAAUGAUUUUCUCCAAAGGAAGGGGCGACUAACUCUGUGCCAGCAGUCGCGGUAAGACAGAGGCCCCGAGCGUUAAUCGGAAUCACUGGGCUUAAAGGGUGCGUAGGCUGACCAGCAAGUGCCUUGUGAAAGCCCCCGGCUCAACCGGGGAACUGCGGGGCA